rnacentral:rRNA from 1 species
UGCGCAGGCGGCUUAUUAAGUCAGUGGUGAAAUCUCUCGGCUCAACCGAGAAACUGCCAUUGAAACUGAUAAGCUUGAGUGUAGUUGUAGUAGGCGGAAUAUAGCAUGUAGCGGUGAAAUGCUUAGAUAUGCUAUAGAACAUCGAUCGCGAAGGCAGCUUACUAAACUAUUACUGACGCUCAUGCACGAAAGCGUGGGGAGCAAACAGGAUUAGAUACCCUGGUAGUCC